AAAGGAUAAGAGAGCAGCUCAAGUUAGAGGUUCUCAAGGUGCAGUGGCUAAAGAGGCAGCGAGCAAUAGCGAUGCAAAAUCAAACCAGCCAGCUAAUCCAAAAGGAGCCUCUCAGCAUGCAGGCAAUGUGCAAUCGAAGGCUUCAUCCAAAUCUUCCAGGAAGAAAUCAAGGAAGUAAUCCAACAACAGAUAACCUAUGUUUCUUUGUUAUUGUUUCGGUGGAUUCUUUUUUCCUGAUUCGUUUAGCAUUUUUGUUGUACAAUCCAUUUAUCUAUGGGAAACUUUUUGUACUUUUCAUACAUAAGGUUGUAGGUGAGGGGCAUUGUUGCUUGCAUCUGAAGUUAACCUACCUUAAUCAGA
rnacentral:misc_RNA from 1 species